rnacentral:tRNA from 1 species
CGGGAUGUAGCGCAGUCCGGUAGCGUACUUCGUUCGGGACGAAGAGGUCGCUGGUUCGAAUCCAGUCAUCCCGACCA